AUUGAACGCUGGCGGCAUGCCUUACACAUGCAAGUCGAACGGCAGCACGGGAGCAAUCCUGGUGGCGAGUGGCGAACGGGUGAGUAAUAUAUCGGAACGUGCCCAGUAGUGGGGGAUAACUACUCGAAAGAGUAGCUAAUACCGCAUACGCCCUACGGGGGAAAGCAGGGGAUCUUCGGACCUUGCGCUAAUAGAUGAGCCUAAGUCAGAUUAGCUAGUUGGUGGGGUAAAGGCCUACCAAGGCGACGAUCUGUAGCGGGUCUGAGAGGAUGAUCCGCCACACUGGGACUGAGACACGGCCCAGACUCCUACGGGAGGCAGCAGUGGGGAAUAUUGGACAAUGGGCGAAAGCCUGAUCCAGCCAUGCCGCGUGUGUGAAGAAGGCCUUUUGGUUGUAAAGCACUUUAAGCGAGGAGGAGGCUACUUGGAUUAAUACUCUAGGAUAGUGGACGUUACUCGCAGAAUAAGCACCGGCUAACUCUGUGCCAGCAGCCGCGGUAAUACAGAGGGUGCGAGCGUUAAUCGGAUUUACUGGGCGUAAAGCGUGCGUAGGCGG
rnacentral:rRNA from 1 species